rnacentral:lncRNA from 10 species
UUUUAGACAUGGAAAGGUUUUUUCCUUCCUUUCCGGAUCACCCACAGAAAAGCAUUUUCAGUUGAGAAUUAGGAGCAGCCAGUGAGUGGGGCUUUCUCUGAUGGUUGAGAUGGAAGGUUUGACCUUUCCAGGGGAGCUUUAUGUGGCCCAGUGGUGCCCUCUGCUGAUAACUGGGUCGUGGCUUACUUAAUUCAUACAUUCUUUCACUCCGUCACUAAUUUGCAAAAAGCUAUUGAGCACUUAUCUGUGCUAGAGAUGGUGAUUCCUACGCUGUGGGUACUAAGAGAACCAGAAAUGCUCCCUCUCCGUCCACGGAGCCAACCGGCUACGGCAGGAGGAGAUGUGACACACUGGCGUCUGAAUCAUAAGAAAGCCUGGCCCUGCCAGGCUUUGAAAACCUGCACAAUACCUUUGAAAUGAACUCCAAACAAAAAGAAAAGGAAAGCCAGAUGCACUGACUCAUGCCUGUAAUCCCAGCACUUUGAGAGGCUGAACGGGAGCAUGACCUGAGGUCAGGAGUUCAAGACCAACCUGGCCAACAUGAUGAAACCCCGUCUCUACUAAAAGUACGAAAAUUAGCUGGGUGUACAAAAUUACAAAAUUUAGUACAAAAAUUCACCUGCAGGAGAAUCACUUGAACCUGGGAGGCAGAGGUUGCAGUGAGCCGAGACUGCACCAUUGCACUCCAGCCUGUGUAAAAAGAGUAAAAUUCCACCUCAAAAAAAAAAAAAAAGGAAAAAAGGAACAGAAAAAAAAAAAGGAAGACAAAGCUAAGGAAGACCACGAUAAAGAAAAUAAAGGAGAAGAGAUGACUAUGAUGACCGUUCGCACAACUGUCAGAUGCAGGUCAUGGUGGUUAAAUGCAACAAAGCCCAGAGAUGUCUUGCCUGCCUUUCCUACCUUUACUAAUCAUCAAAUAUAUCCACAACCAGUUGCUCUUCAUCAGGAUUUGCUGGGUGCUAAGACUGAAUGCUUAUGUCCCCCUCACAAUUAAGGGAUUGAGUGUUCUUACAAAAGAGACUCCAGAGAGAUCCUGUGUCCCUUUCACCAGCAUGCUCCUCCACCUGUCUGCAUGUCGGUUGCUGCGUCCAUAUAAAGUGCUGCAGGGAUAUUUCGAGAAGCUAAUAAGACAAGUCAAUGUGCAAAUACCUUGCAAGUAUCUAAAAUGAAAAAUGUGAGCUCUUCUUCCCCAAGCAAAGAAAAGACCCAAAUAAAAAAUAACACAUAUGUAGAGGUUAUCUAUGAUAUUUUAGAUUUUAUGAGCUCUCUAUAAAUGAACAUUUGUUUCCUUUGUUCCUGAAAUGAAACCAUUACCUGUUUUUCUUGUUUGCCUUUUCCAGCCUAUCUGCCAAAAGUUAUUUUAUUUUACAAAAUGUCUUCCUAAAUUAUCCAAUCCUUUUCCUUCUGAACAUUUAAAACCAUUCAAAAAACCCAAAGUACAUUUUGAUCUAAGCAAUUAAGUUUCUUUACAUCAGUAAUCCCAAUGUCAUGUUGCGAACGUCAUUCUAGAAAAUGUCCCACAGCAAGUUUUUAAUGGCCUGUAAGCAGAGGCUUUAAAAUAAGGACAUUUUUAAAUGCUGGGUCAGGAAUAACUUCAGUGAGGCUCCAGCCCCCUGCCGCGACCUUUCUGCUGACAUGUCUCUGUUGACGCCAAUAUGGAAAUCCACUUGUUUCCAGGCUUUCUCUCUUCAUACCUCAUUAGGAUUCUGCACUGUUACAAAGUAAAACCACUGCCAGGACCAUGAAAUAUGAGGCAAUGGAAUACUCUAAAAUCCCACACCAUUCUUCAUUUACUGUCUUUCCAUCAAGUCACCAAACCAAAACUAUCAAAUUGAUUGUACAAGGCAAGAGAUAUGACAGAGUUAGAUGCCCAGAACAUUUUUUGCAAUCCUUCUUUUCUGGCGGGGUGGAGAUCUGAAAAUGUAUCCCUUCUAGGUUUCUGUAAGUAAUCAGAAGAACUGCAAAUUAUACUUUUGUUUUUGCCAAACUUUUAAGCUUGACAUGAUUGAAACUUCUAGAUUCCUCUAGUUUUCUCCUCUAAAAGCAACACUUCCAGCUAGGUUUAGCUGCUUCGCUGGAGAGCAUGCUGCAAUGUACCCAGCUUACCAUGAUGUCCCAGACAUGCUUUAAUAUACAGCUAGCAUAAGCAUGCCUAUUUUACUAAGGAUUUUCAUUUAAUUUUGUCCUUCUAUAAAACUAUCUAACCUUGGACAGUAUUACAGAUGACUCCUGGUCAUGUGAGUAGGCCAGGGAUUAGGGAUUUGGAUAUGAGGUGCUCCUUAGGAUUUCCCUGCCAAAGCAUUCCCUGCUGGUGUGUUCCAAUCACAAAAGAUAGCAGUGCUGUUGGAAAAGGCGGUGGCAUUUUUGCCAUCCAGGAUCCAGAUGCUUUCUUCGCUCCUGGGAUGGUAGCAAAAAAAACCUCAAAUCUUCAAAGUGAAUACCAGCAUUGAUCUUUAAGUUCAGUGAUGGAAUUACUCUCAGAGGCUUCCAUAACUAAAUUGAAAUCUCCCCAAUUCAAAAUUUCAAAAUAGAGUUUUCUUCUUACCUUCUGUUUUUGUCUGAAUGCAGUUCCGUCUCUCUCUCUGCACCAUAACAAAUCUCGGAAUUGGCUUCCCCAAUUUCCACCAAUCACCCAGCACUGGAAAGUCUAGUCUGUGCCCCCACCGGACCACAGUGACCACCACCGUGUGGCUAAGCCAACCUCUGCUCCACGUGGGGGCCCCUCUGGCCACGCCAGGACCUUUCAUCUCAACCACCCACCAAAGCAAGUGUCAACAUCUCCUUACAGAUUUGCAUCAGAAAUGUUAAGAAAUGUUACUACAGGCAGCAGAAGAGCCACUCCUUACCUCCUGUUAAAACAUUAUAAAAAGGAAAUGUGUGAGGAAGAAGAGCAUAGGUUUGUGUACUAAAUCUCAGAAGAGCAGCUUUUCAAAACUCUGUCAGGCCUGGGAGACAAAGGAAAUAUAUCUUGACCUCACAGAGAGCAUUCAGGUGGAAAAAAGUAAUUUUUUUAACUUGAAAUUUACAUUUAACUAAAAUGAAUUUGUCUCACAAUGAAGAAAGACUAAAUAAAUCAUGGUAUAGCCUAAGUGGAAAAUGGUUCCACUGUUAGAAAUCCGCAUUGAUAAAAGCCAUUCACUAACGUCGGUGAGGCAGGAGAACAGUGGCUGGAGGGAGAGAACAUAAGGCCGAUUCACGCUGAUUUCCUAGAACUAAAUCAAAUGGAAACACUUCAGUGAUGACAGGUAAUACCCUCUCCAUUUACAUAGGGCAUACACAGAGUAAAUGACUUUGUAACUUAACUUCAUGCUCUUCAUUACACAGGGCAUACACCAAUAUAAACCAAUGGAAGUAACCAAUGGAAACCUCUAGAGGGUAUUUAAACCCCAGAAAAUUCUGUAACUGGGCUCUUGAGCCCGUGUGCUAGGACCACUCCCACCCUGUGGAGUGUACUUUCAUUUUCAAUAAAUCUCUGA